UAGGGAAUCUUCCACAAUGGGCGAAAGCCUGAUGGAGCAACGCCGCGUGUGUGAUGAAGGGUUUCGGCUCGUAAACACUGUUGUAAGAGAAGAAUGACAUUGAGAGUAACUGUUCAAUGUGUGACGGUAUCUUACCAGAAAGGGACGGCUAAAUACGUGCUAG
rnacentral:rRNA from 1 species